GGUCUCGUAGCUGGUAGAGCCUGCGUGUACAAAGCGUAAGCGACGUCUGUGCGUGGGUUCAAAUCCCACCGAGGCUA
rnacentral:tRNA from 1 species